rnacentral:lncRNA from 1 species
GGCGGGACCAGGUGGGACCAGGUGUGUCCAGGUGAGCUCCAGGUGAGCUCCAGGGUUUGGUGUGACCAUGGCAAUGCAGAACAGAGCGACCCGGAAGUUCUCGGGGGGAUGGAGGAUGAGGGUCAGCCUGGCCAGGUGAGACCAGGUGGGAUCAGGUGAUCCUAGAUGGGUUUAGAUGGACUCCAGGUGAGACCAGGUGGGACCAGGUGGGCUCAGGUGGGUUUAGAUGGGCUCCAGGUGUGUCCAGGUGUGCCCAGGUGAGCUCCAGGUGAGCUCCAGGGUUUGGUGUGACCAUGGCAAUGCAGAACAGAGCGACCCGGAAGUUCUCAGGGGGAUGGAGGAUGAGGGUCAGCCUGGCCAGGUGAGACCAGGGGGCACCAGGUGGGACCAGGUGGGACCAGGUGGGUUCAGGUGGGUUCAGAUGAGCUCCAGGUGGGACCAGGUGGGUUUAGAUGGGCUCCAGGUGGGACCAGGUGGGUUUAGAUGGGCUCCAGAUGAGCUCCAGGUGGGACCAGGUUGGGUUUCACCAUUUGAAUGCAGACCCAGAAGUUCUUGGAGGGAUGGGGGAUGAGGACUCACCUGGCCAGGUGUGCCCAGGUGUGCCCAGGUACCCCCAGGUGCCCUCAAGCGCCUCCAGGUCUAUCCCAGGUGUAUCCCAGCCCCCCCAGCUGUGCCCAGGUGUGUCAUAGCCACACCCAGCUGUGCCCAGGUGCCCCCAGCUGGGCCCAGGUGUAACCCAGGUGUGCCCAGGUACCCCCAGGUGUAUCUCGGGUGUAACCCAGGUGUAACCCAGGUGUAACCCCAAUUUAACCCCGGUGUAACUCCGGUGUAUCCCAGGUGUAACCCCAGUGUCACCCCAAUUUAACCCUGGUGUAACCCCGGAGUAACCCCGUUGUAACCCAGGUGUAUCCCCAAUUUAACCCAGGUGUAUCCCCAAUUUAACCCCGGUGUAACCCCGGUGUAACCCCGAUUUAACCCUGGUGUAACCCCGAUUUAACCCCGGUGUAACCCAG